AUACGGAGGGUCCAAGCGUUAUCCGGAAUCAUUGGGUUUAAAGGGUCCGCAGGCGGUCAAUUAAGUCAGAGGUGAAAGCCCAUCGCUCAACGAUGGAACUGCCUUUGAUACUGGUUGACUUGAGUUAUACGGAAGUAGAUAGAAUAAGUAGUGUAGCGGUGAAAUGCAUAGAUAUUACUUAGAAUACCGAUUGCGAAGGCAGUCUACUACGUAUAUACUGACGCUGAGGGACGAAAGCGUGGGGAGCGAACAGGAUUAAAAACCCCAGUAGUCC
rnacentral:rRNA from 1 species